UGUGACAACCUGGCCAUGUUUUGGG
rnacentral:piRNA from 1 species